rnacentral:lncRNA from 1 species
CGAUCUGCGAAUUAAAAUAGACAUUUUAUUCAACGAUUUUCUGUCAAUUGUUUCAGAUAGAUUAAGUCUGAAUCUUUAUCCAAAGCUCUUUCGAUUCCUUAUAAGAGUAUGAUAUGUGUACAGAUGGCAUUAACCUUAUCAUUCAACUCUAACACAAUUUCUUCUAGUGUAUCGAUUGGAACUAAGAAAUCCCUAGAGAGUCAGCUGUGUUUUCUGUCUGGACUUUCACGAUUUAUAUGGGUUCUGUGUUUAUCGGAGCACACUCUCGACAAGACUCUUCUAAUUUAUGACAACGCCUGUACUUUUACGUACGCCGUUUUUCCCAAAUCAAGCGAACCGGAUGUGACAUAGUGGGUCUUUUGACCAAUAGGAUACAUGUCGUACACUCUUCUACUCUUGUCGAAUGCGAAGAAAAACAUGCGGGUCGAAAGAUAUUUCUAAUUCACUGUCGUGCAAUAAUCACAACCUUUCCAUAUCUAUGGUUUGUAUCUUCCCUUUGCUCUCAUAAAUAUAUUUAGUACGAAAUCUUUAAAUCUCCAGAUUCAAAUUACGUUUUUUAACAUAAUUUAGAAACUAGAGAAAAUUAAAAUAAACUGC